GCAGGAUGGCAUGGGCAGGGUCGGAGGGAGGAUGCCCUGGGGACUGAGAAUCGGAGGCUGGGGACAAGGGGACAGGACCGGACAGAAGACAGAAGAGGUAUGGAGGAGAGAGGGUUCAGAAAGAAGGCAAGGGAUGGGAACCGAGGACCAAACGGGCUGAAGGCACUGGACGGACAGGGAGACGCAAGAAUCCAAAAAUCGGGGACAAGUGAACUUGUUGGAUACAUCAACCAUCCACGGAGACUGGGGCUGGCUCACGUAUCCCGCUCAUGGGUGGGACUCCAUCAACGAGGUAGACGAGUCCUUCCGGCCCAUCCACACGUACCAAGUAUGCAACGUCAUGAGCCCCAACCAGAACAACUGGCUGCGCACGAACUGGGUGCCCCGCGACGGCGCCAGGCGUGUCUACGCCGAGAUCAAAUUCACCCUGCGUGACUGCAAUAGCAUCCCAGGGGUGUUAGGUACCUGCAAGGAGACCUUCAACCUUCACUACCUGGAGUCUGACCGCGACCUGGGGGCCAGCACACAAGAGAGCCAGUUCCUCAAGAUUGACACCAUCGCGGCGGAUGAGAGCUUCACGGGCGCAGACCUGGGUGUGCGGAGGCUCAAGCUGAACACGGAGGUGCGUGGCGUGGGCCCGCUCAGCAAGCGCGGCUUCUACCUGGCCUUCCAGGACAUAGGUGCCUGCCUCGCCAUCCUCUCACUCCGAAUCUACUACAAGAAGUGCCCCGCCAUGGUACGCAACCUGGCAGCCUUCUCGGAGGCGGUUACUGGGGCCGACUCGUCCUCGCUGGUUGAGGUUCGAGGCCAGUGUGUGCGGCACUCGGAAGAGCGCGACACACCCAAGAUGUACUGCAGUGCUGAGGGCGAAUGGCUGGUGCCCAUCGGCAAGUGCGUGUGCAGUGCUGGCUAUGAGGAGCGGCGGGAUGCCUGCAUGGCCUGUGAGCUGGGCUUCUACAAGUCAGCCCCCGGGGACCAGCUGUGCGCCCGAUGCCCACCCCACAGCCACUCUGCCACCCCUGCGGCCCAGACCUGCCGUUGUGACCUCAGCUACUACCGCGCGGCCUUGGACCCACCAUCGGCAGCCUGCACCCGGCCACCCUCAGCACCAGUGAACCUGAUCUCCAGCGUAAAUGGAACGUCUGUGACCCUCGAGUGGGCCCCUCCUCUGGACCCAGGUGGUCGCAGCGACAUCACCUACAACGCAGUGUGCCGCCGCUGCCCCUGGGCCCUGAGCCACUGUGAGGCUUGUGGGAGUGGAACUCGCUUCGUCCCGCAGCAGACAAGCCUGGCACAGGCCAGCCUGCUGGUGGCCAACCUGCUAGCCCACAUGAACUACUCCUUCUGGAUCGAGGCAGUCAACGGUGUCUCCAACCUGAGCCCUGAGCCCCGCAGCGCUGCUGUGGUCAACAUCACCACGAACCAGGCAGCCCCGUCCCAGGUGGUGGUGAUCCGGCAGGAGCGGGCUGGGCAGACCAGCGUGUCACUCCUGUGGCAGGAACCAGAGCAGCCCAACGGCAUCAUUCUGGAGUACGAGAUCAAGUACUACGAGAAGGAUAAGGAGAUGCAAAGUUACUCUACCCUCAAGGCUGUCACCACCCGCGCCACCGUGUCAGGCCUCAAACCAGGCACUCGCUACGUGUUCCAGGUCCGAGCCCGCACCUCAGCAGGCUGUGGCCGCUUCAGCCAGGCCAUGGAGGUGGAGACCGGGAAACCCAGGCCCCGCUACGACACUCGGACCAUCGUCUGGAUCUGCCUGACACUCAUCACGGGCCUGGUGGUGCUCCUCUUGCUUCUCAUCUGCAAGAAGAGGCACUGUGGCUACAGCAAGGCGUUCCAGGACUCGGAUGAAGAGAAGAUGCAUUACCAGAACGGGCAGGCACCCCCACCUGUCUUCUUGCCCUUGAACCACCCCCCGGGGAAGUUCCCAGAAACCCAGUUCUCUGCAGAGCCCCACACCUAUGAGGAACCAGGUCGGGCAGGCCGGAGCUUUACCCGAGAGAUCGAGGCAUCCAGGAUCCACAUUGAGAAGAUCAUAGGCUCGGGGGAGUCAGGAGAAGUGUGCUAUGGGAGGCUGCAGGUGCCAGGACAGCGCGAUGUGCCUGUGGCCAUCAAGGCUCUCAAAGCUGGCUACACGGAGAGACAGCGACAAGACUUCUUGAGCGAGGCAGCCAUCAUGGGCCAAUUUGAUCACCCUAACAUCAUCCGCCUUGAGGGUGUGGUCACCCGUGGUCGCCUGGCAAUGAUUGUGACGGAGUACAUGGAAAAUGGCUCUCUGGAUGCCUUCCUCAGGACCCACGAUGGGCAGUUCACCAUCGUGCAGCUAGUGGGCAUGCUCAGAGGGGUGGGCGCUGGCAUGCGCUACCUCUCAGACCUGGGCUACAUUCACCGUGACCUGGCUGCCCGCAAUGUCCUGGUGGAUGGCCGUCUGGUGUGCAAAGUGUCAGACUUUGGGCUCUCAAGGGCUCUGGAGGAUGACCCCGAAGCUGCCUACACCACUGCGGGAGGGAAGAUCCCUAUCCGAUGGACAGCGCCGGAGGCCAUUGCUUUCCGCACGUUCUCCUCAGCCAGUGAUGUGUGGAGCUUUGGUGUGGUCAUGUGGGAGGUUCUAGCCUAUGGUGAACGACCCUACUGGAACAUGACCAACCAGGAUGUCAUCAGCUCUGUGGAGGAGGGUUAUAGGCUGCCAGCACCCAUGGGUUGCCCACGUGCCCUACACCAGCUCAUGCUGGACUGCUGGCACAAGGACCGUGCCCAGCGGCCUCGCUUCGCUCAUGUCGUGAGCGUUCUGGAUGCCCUGGUCCACAGUCCUGAGAGCCUCAGGGCCACAGCCACAGUCAGCAGGUGCCCACCCCCUGCCUUCGCCAGGAGCUGCUUUGACCUCCGAGCAGGCGGAAGUGGGAACGGGGACCUCACAGUGGGGGACUGGCUGGACUCCAUCCGAAUGGGGCGCUACCGGGACCACUUCGCGGCUGGCGGGUACUCCUCCCUCGGCAUGGUGCUUCGGAUGAACGCCCAGGAUGUGCGCGCCCUCGGCAUCACUCUCAUGGGUCACCAGAAGAAGAUACUUGGAAGCAUCCAGACCAUGAGGGCCCAGCUGAGCAGCACCCAGGGACCCCGCCGGCACCUCUGACCCAUGGCCACUUGGCACUGGUUAUACCAGCUGUCAGGGGCUCCACGCCCCCCCCAUCAGUCAGGGUAGCCCCCAGAGCAAUACCACAGGACCUAGAGUGACAGAGGUCAGGCACCUGGGACAAGGACCUUGGUGCUCCAGGUAGAGAGGACACCUGCCCUCUGGAAGCAGGCACAGGACCUUGUGUCUUCUAGAGCCUGGGGCCUCCAACACCAGAAGCCGAUGGUGACAUCACUCACCUAGCUGUGGGUGCAUGCGUGCAUGCAUAGGGUUGAUGGUAGGUAUGGGGGUGCCCCACAAGGUCCUGGCAGCUGAUGGAAACAAUGUGUAAUCAUGUCUCUGUUCCCCGUCAGGCCCCAGCACAGACGUGUGCAGGUCACCAUGAGUGUGCUUAUCUGCUAAGGGCAGGAGCCACACGUGUGUGACCGCAGAUAACACGUCAUGAAUGAGGAGGCAUGACAGAGUGUGAGCAGGGGAUCUGAGCUGACACUGCCCAGUUCCCAGGACCUGUGGGGAUCAGACAGUGCCUGCAGGCUGGAGCCCAGGCUGCUUCCGAAUCACACCAGCACCAGGCCCACUGCCCAGCCUGGGUGAACCCACCAUGGCAAUACCUCAGGUCCGGGACUCCUUCCUACUUUGGAGGGCAGGGCCACCUGCAGCCUCUGCCUGGCUCCUCCUGCUACUCAACAGGAAAACAGGGUUCCUGGCCAGUCCCUCUGGCCACCUUCCGUAGAGGAUCACAGCAGAGCGUGAGAUGCCCUCGGUGGGGCAUGACUGCCUGGCCAUCUGCUCUCAUGGCUGUGAUGCCUCUGCCCAACGUCCCACUACCCAUCCCUGCCACCCCUGCCCAUGCUGGGAACAGGAGCAUGGGGCAGACUCUCAAGCCCCAAACCCACCCCUUCCUAUACCAUAUAGGUAAUGCCCAGAGACGAGGAUGCCUUGCCUGAGGUCACAUGACAGCCAAAUUUCAGCGUUGGGGCCCUCAUACCCCCAGCCAUGGUCUGUUCUUCCCAACCUCCCCUCCCCAGACUGCUAGGAUGGGAGGGGCCUGGGAAGCUCACCGCCACAGGCUGAUAACCCCCUUACGGCCCACCAGGGUAUGUAAAUAUCUUUUUUUCUACCAUGUCAGAAUAUUUUUUUCUCCUCACUUCUGACAAUGCAAAAAUGGUCUUCAAAGCACAUGCAAAGCUCCCUGGGUGAGAGAGCCCCAUCCUGGGGGAGGCAGGGCCCAAGGAGCCCCGGCCCAGAGGACAGGGUGGCCCCCUUCCCUGCCCAUCCCUGCCCACAGCCAGCACAGCACCCUGUGAGACACCAGCACUGAGCCCCCUCCCUUCUGCAAUAAUUCAGGGGCUUCAGCCCCACCCAGGUGCCGUGCGCUGCCAGCUCCUGCGCUUCUAUAUAUUAUAGUACUAUGUAGCCGAGCUGCCCUUCCUUCCUAUGGAAGUGGGAAACAUGGUCAGGACACGAGGGGUGGGGACACCUUGUCUUCCACCCCACCCCACUCACCCAGUGUCUGGGCUUAGGAUCCUCAGGCAAGGCCCCUGGGGUGGGGCUCCUGGGGGCCUCUCUGUGGUUCCCAUCCUGAGUCUGGAAUCACUUGUGAUGAGAAUAAAUACUGUCUCAUCUUCA